GGGGGCGUAAAGGUUUCGACGGGGAUUCUGAAGUCCGGACAGCGGGCAGAGGCGCCUAACCUCUAUAAAAUGGGCAAAAAUCAUAAACGCUAACAAUAAUUUAGCUUACGCGGCCUAAAUAGGGCCGCCGUCCGUCCCAUGAGCACCGCGGCUUGGGAACGGGCGUGACUUAGCGGUGAACGUCGCGGGGAGGUUCCUCCGUCCCCGCGAUGCACAAGGGGGAUACUGAACCGGCGAGUCUGCCUGUCGACGCGCCGGGGAGGGAAUGCAAAUGAUGGGCUGCGCCCGGAGAAAUCCUCAUGGAUGGAUUUUCGGACGGGGGUUCGAUUCCCCCCGCCUCCACCA
rnacentral:tmRNA from 1 species